rnacentral:rRNA from 1 species
AGGAUGAACGCUGGCGGCGUGCUUAACACAUGCAAGUCGAACGAUGAAGCCGGAGCUUGCUCUGGUGGAUUAGUGGCGAACGGGUGAGUAACACGUGAGUAACCUGCCCUUGACUCUGGGAUAAGCGUUGGAAACGACGUCUAAUACCGGAUACGACGCGCGAAGGCAUCUUCUGCGCGUGGAAAGAAUUUCGGUCAAGGAUGGACUCGCGGCCUAUCAGCUAGUUGGUGAGGUAACGGCCCACCAAGGCGACGACGGGUAGCCGGCCUGAGAGGGUGACCGGCCACACUGGGACUGAGACACGGCCCAGACUCCUACGGAGGCAGCAGUGGGAAUAUGCACAAUGGGCGCAAGCCUGAUGCAGCAACGCCGCGUGAGGGACGACGGCCUUCGGUUCGUAAACCUCGUUUUAAGUAGGAAGAAGACGAAAGUAGACGGUACCUGACAAGAAAAGACGACGACGUAACACGUGCCAGCACGACCGCGUAAUCGUAGACGGCGGCGUGGACG